CGCUGCGCAGUUCAUGAGUUCACAUCAAAAUGGCGCUCGCUCACUCGCUGUGCGUAGAACGUAGUACUUGUGUAAACGUGUAAAUAAAUUGGAGACAGCAUACAAGAAAACAGAAAGGGUUCGCGGUUCAACUUUUUUCCAACGGUUUCCUCGGCGUCCUUUACAAAGUCCAGUUGAUAUCAUGUCCUGUCCACGUCCAGGGUGGAUCAGACCUGAUCUACAAAUCUUGGAGCAGCCGCUUUCGUCGUAUGCCAUUAAAAAAAUUAAAACAUGCCCGUUAUUAAAAUUUGGUCAGUAGACCAAACAAUCAAGAAAGCUGUUCCAAUAAUGGACCCAACUUUAAAAAAUAUCAUUGAAAAAGGUGAGUAAAUCUAAAUUAAUUUGACUUUUCGUAAUGAAAUAUUUUUUGUGUAAUUGUAGAAUGUAGUGUAUUGUAGAAUAGACUAUAAUUGGAUACCUACUGUUAAGCAUUAAUGUGCUGACUCAAACCACAUUUAUUUUGCAGUAUGAUGUCAAUUUAAUAAUUUGACGCUUGAAGUUGACAAGAUAGAGCUGAUGCUGAACCCUGGCUGUACCUAGUGGAACUCAGGAAACAUUAACCAGGGUUCAAGUUGCAGAGCUAUCCGAAAUAGCUGCGCCUAACAUUGUAUUUUUAGAUAAUGAAAAUAUAAUUAUAUUACUUGCUGGUAGAAAAAACGAUUGUUAGCGAAACUGAGAUUCUGCCUACGUCGUUACAACUAUUGAUGGCGGCUUACUGCAACUUGAAUAUGGAAUAUCCAGUGGACUGUCAAAACACAUUAGAAUUUAUACAAAGGUAUAUUUUUAAAAUAAAUCCUAAAGAAGGAAGUCAUAAGUAAUAGUUUUUGAUUUUUAAGAAGCGUUUUUCUAUUAAAAGACAUGUCAAGAUCGCUUAACUUCUUGCAAGUUCUUUCUAAUGCUAAAAAAACUAACUAUAAUUAAUGUCAGUAACAAACAUUUUCAGACAAUUCGUUACUUGAAAUGGUAUAGGUUUCACGCAUUAGAUUCACAUAGGCCUUAUUAACCGAAACUUUUAUAAGACUAAUUCAUAAGAAGUACUUAUGUACAUAAGAUAUAAUUUAUAGUGUCGUAUAUGUCUUCUACUUUUUGUACUCUGUCACAGAAUAAAUAAUAAUAAUAUGCACGUAGACGUGUAUAUACGCGUGUGCUCUAUAAUUUUAGUGUGUGAAAAUCAAUAAAUUUAUUUCUUUGUAA